AAGUUUCUGAGUUCAAAGGCUCUGCAAUCCCCAUCCUUACUUCCAUUGUGCUAUCUCUAUCUCUAUCAAGAUUAAGGAUUUAACCAUUAUCCACUGUAUGAAGCCCUGCAACCUCUAAAGCACCCAGACUCAGGCUCCAUGAGCCUACUCUGAGGAUCCAGAUGGAAAAACAUUUACAUCCCAUCAUUAUAUACACCCCUCAGGAUCACCUUGUCUAUUAGACACAUUACUCAAGGUACAGUAAAUAAUCUCCAUUAUAAAUCAGUGCAUGAUGAUAUAAAAUCACAGUGAUGUUGCUUUGUGUUUUCAGAGGGCAGAAAUAAUUUGUUCCAUACCAUCCUCAUAUCUAUCCUCAUGUGCAAAGGAGGCCAGCAUAAUGUCAAAUCAAGAUCUUAUUUGUGAUCUGUUUGUUUUCAGUCUUAUAACAUGGCAAAAGCACAACCAUCAGAAUUAAAGGGGAAAAUGCACAAGCAUCUAGAUGUAAUGAAUACUAAAAAAAAGACUAUUUUUUAAUGUAUAAACUAAGUUUUUCCAACUACAGUAAUGUAAAUUUUUUUGCAUGAUUUCAAACAUUUUUGUGAUACACUAUCAUUACUUUCAGGCCUAACCUGAAUACAAAUGAAGCACAGCAAACCUGUUUUAGAUGUACAAGACAAUGUUUUGAACCUCAAAACUAAAGUAUUUAUGUGUUGAAAAUGAUCAAAAUGUAUAGAUUUUCCCCUCUGUUUAAAGGGCAGGUGAUUGAAAAUAAUAUGAACAAAAUGGUUAUAUAGGUAUUAUAAUGUAUUUUGCAUUAUGCCUGAAAUAAAAUUUUGAUCGAA